UACGUAGGGGGCAAGCGUUGUCCGGAAUUAUUGGGCGUAAAGAGCUCGUAGGCGGCUCGGUAAGUCCGCUGUGAAAGUCCAGGGCUCAACCCUGGAAUGCCGGUGGAAACUGUCGAGCUCGAGUCCGGAAGAGGCGAGUGGAAUUCCUGGUGUAGCGGUGAAAUGCGCAGAUAUCAGGAGGAACACCUAUUGCGAAGGCAGCUCGCUGGGACGUAACUGACGCUGAGACGCGAAAGCGUGGGGAGCAAACAGG
rnacentral:rRNA from 1 species